rnacentral:lncRNA from 1 species
AUCAACUAUCCCUUUCUCUAUUUGAUAUGUAUGUAUAUUACUUAUUUAUUUAAUUGUUGGAAAUUCUGAUUACAGACACGUGUUUAUUACUAAUUGUAUGUUACUGUUCUGAAGAACCAAACACAGAAAUUGUUAAUUAAAUCAUCAUUAAAAAGCUUUAAAUUUACAUCAGACCGACUCUUCAAACACAACUAACGUUCAAUAAAGUAAUAAUAAUAUGAUAAUAUUCAAAUAAUGAUCAAUGAUUCAUUCACAAAUCACACCCUCUAGCUUCUCGAGACUAUUUAUACCUUUCUUCUCCCUCUCAUUACCCUCAUGAAACAAGAAGC